rnacentral:rRNA from 1 species
GACGAACGCUGGCGGCGUGCCUAAUACAUGCAAGUCGAGCGGAAGUUGGAGAGCUUGCUCUUCAACUUUAGCGGCGGACGGGUGAGUAACACGUGGGCAACCUGCCCUGCAGAUCGGGAUAACUCCGGGAAACCGGUGCUAAUACCGAAUAGUUUUCGCCACCUCCUGGUGGCGUACGGAAAGACGGUUUCGGCGGUCACUGCAGGAUGGGCCCGUGGCGCAUUAGCUAGUUGGUGGGGUAACGGCCCACCAAGGCGACGAUGCGUAGCCGACCUGAGAGGGUGAUCGGCCACACUGGGACUGAGACACGGCCCAGACUCCUACGGGAGGCAGCAGUAGGGAAUCUUCCGCAAUGGACGAAAGUCUGACGGAGCAACGCCGCGUGAGUGACGAAGGUUUUCGGAUCGUAAAACUCUGUUGUGAGGGAAGAACAAGUACCAAUUAACUACUGGUACCUUGACGGUACCUCACCAGAAAGCCACGGCUAACUACGUGCCAGCAGCCGCAGUAACAC